rnacentral:rRNA from 1 species
UACAGAGGGUGCAAGCGUUAAUCGGAAUUACUGGGCGUAAAGCGCGCGUAGGUGGUUCGUUAAGUUGGAUGUGAAAUCCCCGGGCUCAACCUGGGAACUGCAUUCAAAGCUGACGAGCUAGAGUAUGGUAGAGGGUGGUGGAAUUUCCUGUGUAGCGGUGAAAUGCGUAGAUAUAGGAAGGAACACCAGUGGCGAAGGCGACCACCUGGACUGAUACUGACACUGAGGUGCGAAAGCGUGGGGAGCAAACAGG